rnacentral:rRNA from 1 species
AACGAACGCUGGCGGCAUGCCUAACACAUGCAAGUCGAACGAGACCUUCGGGUCUAGUGGCGCACGGGUGCGUAACGCGUGGGAACCUGCCCUUAGGUUCGGAAUAACUCCCCGAAGGGGGUGCUAAUACCGGAUAAUGUCUUCGGACCAAAGAUUUAUCGCCUUUGGAUGGGCCCGCGUUGGAUUAGCUAGUUGGUAGGGUAAAAGCCUACCAAGGCGACGAUCCAUAGCUGGUCUGAGAGGAUGAUCAGCCACACUGGGACUGAGACACGGCCCAGACUCCUACGGGAGGCAGCAGUGGGGAAUAUUGGACAAUGGGCGAAAGCAUGAUCCAGCAAUGCCGCGUGAGUGAUGAAGGCCUUAGGGUUGUAAAGCUCUUUUACCCGGGAUGAUAAUGACAGUACCGGGAGAAUAAGCUCCGGCUAACUCCGUG